UGGAUCUUUUCCUAUGGGUUGGUUGUUCCUCUAAUAGGCAUGGGUGGUCUUUCUCUUUUUUUUUUUUUGUAUUUUUAAUAUCGUGUUUCUGCAAUUAUUCUCUUUUGGGCUUAGCACAAUUUAUUGUUUUACACAUAAUUUUUAAAAUAUCAUAAAUAUGAAAACCUUUGACACAAAAAAGGUAGAAAACCAGAACUUAAGGCUUGAUUGGUUCUCCCUCUACCACCCGCAAACACAGCGUUUACGGUUGGUAGCGAUUGUUAGCGGUUGUUAGCGAUUGACACCAAUCAUAAAAACCGCUAGACAUCGCUUUGGACCGCUC